rnacentral:rRNA from 1 species
GACGAACGCUGGCGGCGUGCUUAACACAUGCAAGUCGAACGGAAAGGCCCCUUUUGGGGUCCUCGGGUUGCGAACGGGUGAGUAACACGUCCUUAACCUCCCCUUGACUUCCGGAUAACUUCAGUAAACUGGGGCUAUUUCCGCAGAGGAAUCCUUUCUGCCUGGUGGGGGUUGGAAAGCUUAGUCGGCUUUGGGUGGGCUCGCGGCUUAGCAGCGUGUUGGUGGGGUAGUGGCUUACGAAGGCUGUGACGGGUAGCCGGACUGAGAGGGCGACCGGCCACAUUGGGACUGAGACACGGCCCAGACUCCGACGGGAGGCAGCAGUGGGGAAUAUUGAAAAAUGGGCGGGAGCCUGAUGCAGAUACGCCGCGGGCGGGAUGACGGUCUUGGGGUUGUAAACCGCUUUCAGCAGGGGCGGAGCUUGUGGUGACGGUACCUGCAGAAGAAGCACCGGCUAACUCCGUG